rnacentral:SRP_RNA from 1 species
GCUGGGCGUGGUGGCAUAUGCCUGUAAUCCCAGCUACUUGGGAGGCUGAGGCAGGAGAAUCACUUGAGCCCAGGAGGUGUUGGUUGUACUGAGCCAAGAUUGUGCCACUGCAUUCCAGUCUGGGCAACAGAGUGAGACUCUGUCUCAA